rnacentral:rRNA from 1 species
UGCUGGAGGUAUCAGAAGUGCGAAUGCUGACAUAAGUAACGAUAAAGCGGGUGAAAAGCCCGCUCGCCGGAAGACCAAGGGUUCCUGUCCAACGUUAAUCGGGGCAGGGUGAGUCGACCCCUAAGGCGAGGCCGAAAGGCGUAGUCGAUGGGAAACGGGUUAAUAUUCCCGUACUUGGUGUUACUGCGAAGGGGGGACGGAGAAGGCUAUGUUGGCCGGGCGACGGUUGUCCCGGUUUAAGCGUGUAGGUGUGUGUUCCAGGUAAAUCCGGUUCACUUUAACACUGAGGCGUGAUGACGAGGCACUACGGUGCUGAAGCAACAAAUGCCCUGCUUCCAGGAAAAGCCUCUAAGCAUCAGGUAACAUCAAAUCGUACCCCAAACCGACACAGGUGGUCAGGUAGAGAAUACCAAGGCGCUUGAGAGAACUCGGGUGAAGGAACUAGGCAAAAUGGUGCCGUAACUUCGGGAGAAGGCACGCUGACAUGUAGGUGAAGUGAUUUACUCAUGGAGCUGAAGUCAGUCGAAGAUACCAGCUGGCUGCAACUGUUUAUUAAAAACACAGCACUGUGCAAACACGAAAGUGGACGUAUACGGUGUGACGCCUGCCCGGUGCCGGAAGGUUAAUUGAUGGGGUCAGCGCAAGCGAAGCUCCUGAUCGAAGCCCCGGUAAACGGCGGCCGUAACUAUAACGGUCCUAAGGUAGCGAAAUUCCUUGUCGGGUAAGUUCCGACCUGCACGAAUGGCGUAAUGAUGGCCAGGCUGUCUCCACCCGAGACUCAGUGAAAUUGAACUCGCUGUGAAGAUGCAGUGUACCCGCGGCAAGACGGAAAGACCCCGUGAACCUUUACUAUAGCUUGACACUGAACAUUGAGCCUUGAUGUGUAGGAUAGGUGGGAGGCUUUGAAGCGUGGACGCCAGUCUGCGUGGAGCCGACCUUGAAAUACCACCCUUUAAUGUUUGAUGUUCUAACGUGGACCCGUAAUCCGGGUUGCGGACAGUGUCUGGUGGGUAGUUUGACUGGGGCGGUCUCCUCCUAAAGAGUAACGGAGGAGCACGAAGGUUGGCUAAUCCUGGUCGGACAUCAGGAGGUUAGUGCAAUGGCAUAAGCCAGCUUGACUGCGAGCGUGACGGCGCGAGCAGGUGCGAAAGCAGGUCAUAGUGAUCCGGUGGUUCUGAAUGGAAGGGCCAUCGCUCAACGGAUAAAAGGUACUCCGGGGAUAACAGGCUGAUACCGCCCAAGAGUUCAUAUCGACGGCGGUGUUUGGCACCUCGAUGUCGGCUCAUCACAUCCUGGGGCUGAAGUAGGUCCCAAGGGUAUGGCUGUUCGCCAUUUAAAGUGGUACGCGAGCUGGGUUUAGAACGUCGUGAGACAGUUCGGUCCCUAUCUGCCGUGGGCGCUGGAGAACUGAGGGGGGCUGCUCCUAGUACGAGAGGACCGGAGUGGACGCAUCACUGGUGUUCGGGUUGUCAUGCCAAUGGCACUGCCCGGUAGCUAAAUGCGGAAGAGAUAAGUGCUGAAAGCAUCUAAGCACGAAACUUGCCCCGAGAUGAGUUCUCCCUGAGACUU